GAGGGUGGAGCUCAGUGGUAGAGCGCAUGCUUAGCAUGUGCAAGGUCCUGGGUUCUAUCCCCAGUACCUCCA
rnacentral:tRNA from 1 species